GAUGAACGCUGGCGGCGUGCCUAAUACAUGCAAGUUGAGCGGGAGGUUUACCUCCAGCAGCGAACGGGUGAGUAACACGUAUCUAACCUGCCCUUAAGUCUGGAAUAACGUUGGGAAACCGACGCUAAUGCCGGAUAGGUAAUUGAAUCUUAUGAAUUAAUUAUUAAAGAAGCGUUUGCUUCGCUAAAGGAUGGGGGAUGCGCAGCUAUUAGAUAGGUUGGGUAGGGUAAUUCGCCCACAAGUCAACGAUGCUUAGCCGACCUGAGAGGGUGAUCGGCCACACUGGAACUGAGACACGGUCCAGACUCCGUACGGGGAGCAGCAGG
rnacentral:rRNA from 1 species